AUCUUUUCUCAGGUCAAAAUAAGGGACUCAUUUGUUAACUUGGGUUAUCUAGUCAGUUAAGAUAAUUGACCCAAGCUUCACAUAUGUAUAAUUAUAAAUGAUUAAAGAAGUCCUAGGGAAGGCAUGUGUAGGAGAAAUGAGUUUCUGAAAUGUCUUGGAGAGGAAAAGGCUCAUGGGUUGGUGGAAGAAAUGGAGAAGUCAUUUUAAGUAGAAAGAAUGAUUGGGGCGCCUGGGUGGCUCGUCGGUUAAGCGUCAGACUUCGGUUCAGGUCAUGAUCUCACAGUUCGUGGGUCGGAGCCCCACACCGGGCUCUGUGCUGACAGCUCAGAGUCUCGAGCCUGCUAUGGAUUCUGUGUCUCCCUCUCUCUCUGUCCCUCCUCCACUCACACUCUGUCUCUCGCUCUCAAAAAAUAAAUUAAAAAAAAACAUUAAAAAAAACAGAAGAGAGAAUGAUUAAUGCAAAGGUUCAGUGAUGAGAAAGACUAAGUUAUCGCCACUAGAAUGGAGCCCAUGUGGUUUGUAAUGAGGAAGAGAUAAGGCUGGGCUCCCUGGAUUGACUACAAACACAAAAGUAUUACAGCGUGCCAAUUUGUAAGGAAACACAUUUCAUAGACUGCAUACAAAAGCCAAGUAAAAUGUAAUGACCUUCCAUUUGUUUUAUGGUAAUUGGACAUUUAUUUCAUAAAGUAAGUAGUGCUAUUAUACCAUGACCCGUGAUAAAAAGGAAAACUUUCCAGUUUACAUUUCACCCAUCAUAACCUUGAAUAUUAAAAUAAACUUACAUGCUCCAUUAACUAGAAAAUAAUUCCAUUCCAUGCUUUGAAUUUGCCUAGGGUGUGGUUCUCAGUGAGGACAAGUUCAAUUGAUAUGCUUGAAGAAUUCUAAUUAAGAAACAAGGUAAUUUCAAAGAGGCAGAGUGUGAGCGGGGAAGGGGCAGAGAGAGAGAGGAAGACACAGAAUCUGAAGCAGGCUUCAGGUUCUGAACUGUCAGCACAGAGCCUGACACGGGGCUUGAACUCACGAACCGCGAGAUCAUGACCUGAGCCGAAGCCGGAUGCUUAAUCAGCUGAGCCACCCAGGUGCCCCUCUGCCCCUCUUUUUUAACCAGGAUAACAAAGGGUUUUUGUAGAGAUAUUACCCUAAGCAUAUACGCACUCAAAAUAGGAUUAUAGGUGGCAAAAACCAAAGUAAUAGCUCUUGGCUAGAAUAACCUCCAUGUUCAAAACACAAAUUUUUUAAAAGCAAUUUUUUUUUAAUGUUUUUUUAUUUUUGAGAGAGACAGACAGAAUGUGAGUGGGGGAGGGGUAGAGAGAGGGGGAGACAGAAUCUGAAGCAGGCUCCAGGCUCUGAGCUGUCAGCACAGAGGCCAACUCGGGUCUCAAGCUCAUAAGCAGUGAGAUCGUGACCUGAGUAGAAGUGGAUCGCUUAACCGACUGAGCCACCUAGGCGCCAAACACAAAUCUUAAAAUUAAAAGCUUUCUUUUUGAUUGCUUCUAUAUACUAAAAUCAAGCUAUUUGUUUUAUAAAUUUUCUACAAAAUGGUUGCAUGGAAUUAUGUUGGUCGGCAUAUUGUUCUUUCCUCAUAAGUCAGGAUAAAACUUGAAAAAUGAGAUGAGAACUUCUGCCUGAUGUUAUGUGACAAUUUUAUUCGAUAAGAACUGCUUCAUAAUAUAUAUAGCUCGAAAUGAGUGGGUUAACUGCAAAUUGUCUUUGAUUCUCAAAACCUGUUAGUCUUAUCAGCAAUAAUUUACUCUUGCUUUCUUUUGUUUCCCACACAUAAUUCUGGGCUCAGGUGCAUUAGGUUCACCUUCCCACCUCUUCUGGGACCCCCCAAAAUGGAUCAUACAGAGGCCAGGAAAACCAACCCCGACUCGGUGCGCCCACCAUCUUUCUGCUGACAUGGUCCCUUGCUCUUUGCUCAGGCUGCAGAUUUCUUCCGUUCUCUUAGUUUCUUCGUUCAUUCAAUAAAUAUUUAAGGACUGUG